AAUAUUAUUCUAAAGCAGAAGGUAAGGGGUUUUAAAAUAAAAAUAAUCAACUCUGACCUUCAUUAUACCUUCUAACAUCUCUACUGGGGAUGGGGGGAGGUGAUUAAUUGAAUCAAUUUAAUCGAAUCAAGAUGAAUUGAGUCAAUUAAUAUCUAAAGCAAGCUCGCUUAUAUAAAACAUGAUGACAAAAAAUGCACUGAUAUGAAAUCGAUCCUCACAAAUCAUCAACAUUUGUGUAGAAUACCAAUAUAUCCCAGCAGGAAGAGAUGAAGAAAUUGCAUUUUAAAUAACUGCAGAAUGUAUGCUUAGGAGGUGGGAGAGGAGAGGAGGAUGAUAUAUUGUGUAAAUGACAACAAAAAUCACAUUCCCUCUUCCCUCCUCCACCAUCCCCCAAGCACAAUCUUAUGUAUUAUGACCUUGGAUCAAAGAAUUACAAUUUCAAGAAACCUUAUUCAAUGGAGUCUAACUGACCCCUCUUAUGGGGGAGGAAGUUGAGACCCAGAAAGAAGUGAUUUACCCAACAUCAUGCAGAUAGUAAAUAGCAAAACCAGGAUCUGAUCGGGGGUGACAACCUUGCCUUAUUUCCACUGCAUUUUUGGUUUGUGUAUUCGCUUACCAACAUAGGCUAUCAUGCCUAGAAGGACUAGAGAGUCAGGUGGGGAAGCACCUUAGAAUAGAGAGUAUCAAUGACACCAACAAUGUAAAUGCAAUGACCACUAAAAAUUCACUGAACCCUAAAUUGGUGAAAAACCAAUGGUGGUCUUGUAGAAUAUGCAGUGAGAGAACAUGGCCUCAUAGCCCAUCCUCUCUUCAGAGAGACCUAGGACUCCAAGGAUAGAAUGUCACAUAUGCUGUCAGACUUGGUCACUGGAGGUAGAUUUUGUCUAAUUGUUUCCCUGUGUUGGAAGAAAGGACUCCAUUUGUGGCUAGAAAUGUAGGGAGGGGACAGAAGAAUGGGGUUAAAAAAUACAAAGAAUGUCAGAUUGGGUAGGGCCUUAAAACAUUACAUGCCAGAGUUGGGAGCAACAUUAGAACAGAGAAUAUUAGAGUUUGAAGGAACCUUAAAACAAAGAUGGUCAGAAAUAGAAGGAGUCUUAAAAUCAAGAUUGUCGGAAACAGAAGACUUUAAAGCACAGAAUGUCAGAGCUGGGAGAUUAUCUCAUCCAAAUGCAUCCUGUUACAAUGAGAAAACUGAGACCCAGUGGAACCAAUUUGUCCAAGGUCGCAAUGGCAAUAAUUGGCAAAGACUCUUGUAUGAAAUAAAAGGCUUCUGUGUCAUAUAAAAACCUUUAUGAAGUCAUAGAAAACUGGUUUCAACAAGACCUACAUGGGGACAAAUAUUCCUUCAUGCUCUAAAGCUAUGGCCCGAUGACCUUGGUUACACUCAUUAGAGAAGAUUUCCUCUUUAGAGGGGAAAGUGGGGCUUGAUCUAGUCUUGGAAUUCUGUGAAAGAAGAGGGAAAGAUGAAAUAAGGGAAGAUGUUCUCCCCUCACCUCCAACAAAAACCAAAACCACAGGUUUCACCUUCUUCCUUCUGCCUGGAUGGAUCAGAAUGCUUAUGCAAUGGAAAGUGCUGAUAAACUUCAUUUUCCUGGAAUGCUAGAAGUAGAAAGGACUUACUUCAAACACCAUUCAGUCUUCACCCAGGCACAAUACCAGGAGCUUAGGAGACACUGCUCUUCCCUGUACAGAAUUGUUGCAGGAGAUUUCAAGGUGUGUCUAAGAUUUUGGCUGAUUGCACAACUAGGUAAUGCCACCAUGGAUAGAAUACUGGGCCUGGAGUCAGGAAGACUCAUCUUCUUGAGUUCAAAUCUGGCCUUCUACACUAACUAGCUGUGUGACCCUGGGCAAGUCACUUAAAACCCAGUUUGCCUCAGUUUCCUCAUCUGUAAAAUGAGCUGGAGAAGGAAACAGCAAACCUAGCUCUGUGACCCUGGGCAAGUCACUUCACCCAGUUUGCCUCAGUUUCCUCAUCUGUAAAAUGAGCUGGAGAAGGAAACAGCAAACCUAGUUCUGUGACCCUGGGCAAGUCACUUCACCCUGUUUGCCUCAGUUUCCUCAUCUGAAAAUGAGCUGGAGAAGGAAACAGCAAACCUAGUUCUGUGACCCUGGGCAAGUCACUUCACCCUGUUUGCCUCAGUUUCCUCAUCUGUAAAAUGAGCUGGAGAAGGAAACAGCAAAUCUAGUUCUGUGACCCUGGGCAAGUCACUUCACCCUGUUUGCCUCAGUUUCCUCAUCUGAAAAUGAGCUGGAGAAGGAAACAGCAAACCUAGCUUUGUGACCCUGGGCAAGUCACUUCACCCUGUUUGCCUCGGUUUCCUCAUCUGAAAAUGAGCUGAAGAAAGAAAUGGCAAACCACUCCAGUAUCUUGCCAGGAAAACUCCAAAUGGAGUCAUAAAGUUCCAGACACAACUGAAAAACAACUAAACAACCCUAACCCAGAAUAUAACCUUGAAGUUUCUUUUCUUUCAAAAUGAAUCCCUGAGAUGAGCAUGUUCCCUUGGCAUAUUGAUCCUCCUUCGCACUCCCCUCCCAAAAAAAAGACCAAAGAAUAUCAGAGAAUUUGGGAUAUCAAGAUUCAUUCUACAAAUGAGCAAACUGAGGACUAGAAAAUUGAAGAAUGUACAUGAGCAGGAACUGUGUAAGCACCCAUUUAACUGGCCCAUUCUAGCCAGCUGACCCCAACCCAGAAACCACCCAAUAGUUCACCUUCACAUUCCCAUAAAACCAUCUACCCCAGAUACCUUGCCAACUACCUAACUCCAUAUCACCCUACCUUCCCCUUCUUGUCCUACUCAGAAAAAUAAAACCACCGGGAUCAUUGUUCUUGGAAAGGAUGGCCCUACAGAUCCCCACACCUACCUUGACCAGCACUCCCUUCCUGGCCAACACUCUCCUGUAUACAUUGUCUCCCUUCUCUUAGAGUGAGGAUUUUAAGGGCUCCCUUUUGUAGUCCUAUCCUGAGCCUUGAACACAAUGCCUAGCACAUAACAGUUGCUCAAUAAAUGCUUUUUCACUGUUAUUGGUAGUAAAUAAUCCAUUUCACUGAAGGAUCAAGUAGGUUGAAUUCAUUAUCAUUGAUAUUUGAUGCAUUUUCCUAGACUUUAAGUUCUAGAUGAGAAUUGGCUCCCAUGGACUCCCUGGGGUUCCAUGGAAAUAUACUAGGGUUCUACAGCGUUCCCAGGAGGAUUUUGUUGGGUUCUUUUUUUAAAGACCUUCUGUCUUGGUAUCAAUUCUAAGACAGAUAGGCAAUAGGGGUUAAACAACUUGCCCAGACUCACCCUGCUAGGAAAUCUAUGAGGUCAGAUUUGAAUCCAGGUCCUUCUGACGCCAAGCCUGGCACUCUGUCCACUGUGCUCUCUUACUGUCACUUCCCAGAAGGAAUUUAAUUUUGCCUAUUCUUGGAAAAUUUCUGGAUGCUUUCUCUUUUCUGUUUGAAGACAUUCCAAAUCCAAUUAUUUUCUUUCUUUUAAUGUAUAUGUUUAACUCUCAUCUUCAUCCACUUAGCAGUGGUUUUGUUCCCAAGCGGAAUCCAGGACUUCCCCAAAAAGCCAAAGAUAGAAACAGGAGAUUCCUUGGUGGGAAAAGUGUUAUAUUUGGGUUAUUGAGAUCCUUGUAAUCUAAUAAAGAAACGAGAGAGGAUUGUCCCACAGCCAACCUAAGGAGUUGUUGGGGUUGGGGUUGUUGGUUGUUGUUGUUGUUAUGAUUCAAGGCAGUAUUCCAGAAAGGCUACAGAGAUGGAGUCAGGAAGACCUGGGCUGAAGUUCUGCCCUUGGCAUGUGGUGUUUUUGUAGCCUUGUCACAAAUCAGUGCCCGGGGCAACUGUCUAACAAUCUAGGUUGUUUAAUCAGUGCCAAACUGCUUUGGUAAAGAGUGUAUUUUGAAAGAUCCCAGUAUCAAUAACAUUUGCACAUCUAUUUUAUUGUUGUUUUUCAGUCAAGUGUGACUCUUUUGGGGGUUUUAUUGGCCAAGAUACUGGAGUGGUUUGCCAUUUCCUUCUCCAGCUCAUUUUACAGGUGAGAAAACUGAGACAAAUAGGGUGAAAUGACUUGCCCAGGGUCACAGAGUUAGAUUUGCCAUUUCCUUCUCCAACUCAUUUUAUAGAUGAGUACACUGAGGCAAACAGGGUGAAGUGAUUUGCCCAGGGUCACAGAACUAGGUUUGUCAUUUCCUUCUCCAGCUCAUUUUACAGAUGAGGAAACUGAGGCAAAGAGAGUGAGGUGUCUUGUCCAGUGCCACAGAGCUAGUAAGUGUCUGAGGCCAGAUUUGGAAUCAUGAAAAUGAAUCUUCCUGACUUCAAGUUCAAUGCUCUAUCCACUAAGUCACCUAGC